rnacentral:rRNA from 1 species
AGUGAACGCUGGCGGUAGGCCUAACACAUGCAAGUCGAACGGCAGCACAGUAAGAGCUUGCUCUUACGGGUGGCGAGUGGCGGACGGGUGAGGAAUACAUCGGAAUCUACUUUUUCGCGGGGGAUAACGUAGGGAAACUUACGCUAAUACCGCAUACGACCUACGGGUGAAAGCAGGGGAUCUUCGGACCUUGCGCGAUUGAAUGAGCCGAUGUCGGAUUAGCUAGUUGGCGGGGUAAAGGCCCACCAAGGCGACGAUCCGUAGCUGGUCUGAGAGGAUGAUCAGCCACACUGGAACUGAGACACGGUCCAGACUCCUACGGGAGGCAGCAGUGGGGAAUAUUGGACAAUGGGCGCAAGCCUGAUCCAGCCAUACCGCGUGGGUGAAGAAGGCCUUCGUUGUAAAGCCCUUUUGUUGGGAAAGAAAAGCAGCAGGUUAAUACCCCGCUGUUCUGACGGUACCCAAAGAAUAAGCACCGGCUAACUUCGU